rnacentral:ncRNA from 1 species
UACAUUUGCACCUCGUUACAUAAUAAUCAUUAAAUAAUAUUGGCAUG